rnacentral:rRNA from 1 species
UACAGAGGUCUCAAGCGUUGUUCGGAUUCAUUGGGCGUAAAGGGCGCGUAGGCUGUGCUGUAAGUCAGGCGUGAAAUCCCCGGGCUCAACCUGGGAAUUGCGCAUGAUACUGCGGCGCUUGAAGACGGGAGAGGAUGGCGGAAUUCCCAGUGUAGAGGUGAAAUUCGUAGAUAUUGGGAAGAACACCGGUGGCGAAGGCGGCCAUCUGGCCCGUAAUUGACGCUGAGGCGCGAAAGCGUGGGGAGCAAACAGG